rnacentral:lncRNA from 1 species
CUGAACAUACAUUUUACCCUACAAGGUAUAAAAUAUUCAAUGAAACUGAGCAUUUCUCGAAUCUAGUGUGAAAGGGAUAAGCUCUCCCUGUCCCUCUCUCUCUCUCUCUCUCUCGUUCACUCUCCUCCGCUGGGGACCAGCGCUCGCCAUUAAUGCUCUCUCGCUUCUCUCUCUAGGGUUUCAGUAAAAUAAUGGAGCUUUAGAGAGAGAAAGAGAGCCUAGUAGGAGGAAUUCUACACUGUCACACUUGCACCACGUCAUCAAUAACAAGCCAAUCACAUUUCUUCUUUUCAAACAAAAGUACAAUAAAAAUACUUUUUUACAAUCAUGAUGGGACAUAUAUUCUUAAAAGGAUUAAUUUGAUUGGUUUGUUACGCCACGUCACUAAUAUACCCGUUGCAUUCUAGAAUUUUUCAGCCUAGUAGGAGCCGGGCCAGGUCAACCUUCGCGAAGGUCGCCCAGAAAAGCAUUCCUUUUUAAGACGGAGACAGAGAGAGAGAGAGAGAGAGAGAGAGCAACAAGGAGGUGAGAAAAAGGAUUCGCCUUUACCCCUCUCGCAAGCCUUUCACUUCUACCACUGGAGAGAGCUCGAACCAAAUCCGAGGUUUCGAGGUGGAUUUGGGGGGAAUUAGAACGGAUCCGAGUGCGAAUUCGGCUUCUUCUCAAGCCAUUUUGGGCGCAGAGGAGUUGGAGUUGGAGUGGGAGGAGGAGGAGGAGGAGGAGGAGGAGGUAGGGUUUUGAUUUGUGCGGCGUUGUUUGAUUCCGGGAUGGGGAACUGCUUCGGCGCGAAAAUUAAGGCGGAGAGCCCCUCGCACAGCGCCUUCACCUCCGGUACGCAAUUGUUGGGUUGACGAAGAAGUGAGAUUUAGGGCUAAUUUGCGGUGUUUGGGAUUGGGGCGGAUUUGUUCUAUUUAGGGUUCGUGCAUGCUGCUUUGUGGUGUUGCGGAGCAGCUCGAGAUUUAAGAAAAGCUGCGAAUUUUGAGCUUUACUUCUUGUUGUCUCAUAGACCCAGUUAGAUCUUUAGCUGUUUUGGUAAUCAAAUCCCUAACUGGGGCUUCAUAGUAGGUAUUUUUGAGUUGCUUAAUUGUUCUUAUAUAGCAAGGCUACUGUUGUUGCUUGAUAUACCAAGUAAUCUGAUGGAGGAUUUGCUGGUCUUUAUUUAGUUUGUGUAUCCUUCCUUUAGAAGUCACAGGAAACAUGCACAGAACAAAAAUGAGUCAUUUGUCUCCUGAAAUUUAUGUGCAAGCAUUUCUGUUUUAACUCAACAAUCACUGAAAUUUACCAUCUUUGAAUAGAGUCUAUUCGAUACAUUGUUGGGUACUACCAACUCUCUUGGAUGUCGGCUUUUGAGAUAGUGAAUUUCUGGUGCAACACUGAAUGACAAUUAGAUAGGAUUUAAUGUUUUUUGGUUGUUAUUGGUUUUCCAUUUCCUGCAAUUUAAGUAAAUAGUAGUAUCUUACAACAAUUUACAGUAUUUCUUUUUCUUGUGUGCCUAGGGACGAACUCGAAAUAUGGCAGUAAAAACGGGAACGGAUUAAGCAGCUCGAGCAGCCGGGUUUCGGCAGCCUCCGUGCCUCCGACUCCUCGGACUCAGGGUGAGAUACUGCAGUCGUCGAAUGUGUGUAGCUUUACAUUUCAUGAGUUGAGAACUGCCACAAGGAACUUCCGUCCGGACAGUGUGCUGGGAGAGGGUGGGUUUGGUUCGGUCUUUAAGGGGUGGAUUGAGGAGCACACAUUCGUGCCCGCCAAACCCGGGACCGGAAUGGUUAUUGCUGUGAAGAAGCUCAAUCAGGAAAGCUAUCAGGGUCACAGGGAAUGGCUGGUCAGUGUAGUUUUCCACUACCCUUCUGUCUGUGAAGAAGCUCAAUGUUUCCUUAACCUUAUUAAUUAUUUUUUUUAUUGUAACCUGUAGGCAGAAGUUAAUUAUCUAGGUCAAUUGUCUCAUCCUAAUCUUGUAAAACUCAUCGGGUACUGCCUAGAGGACGAACAGCGGCUUCUCGUGUACGAGUUCAUGCCUCGAGGAAGUUUGGAGAACCAUCUCUUUAGGAGUAAGUCAAGUCCUGAGUUGUUUAUGUGUUCUUUUAUGGAUGUGAGUGAGUUUUUGACAAAACGGAAAUGAAGAUCUUUCUAUGAGAAUUAAUGUUGUAUUUGUUAUGAACCAAUCAUUUCACAAAUGAUGCUGCAGGGGGAUCAUACUUUCAACCACUUUCUUGGAACCUCCGAAUGAAGGUUGCUCUUGGAGCUGCUAAAGGGCUCGCAUUUCUGCACAGUGACAAGGCAAAAGUUAUCUAUCGUGAUUUCAAGACUUCUAAUGUUCUUCUGGAUUCGGUAUGUAAUGGUGUCUAAAUUUGCAUAACUAUACAAGCGAAAGAGUUUAUAGUUUAGACAAUCUGAUUUUUUUUUUUUCUUCUUUGCACUGUCGACAGAGCUAUAAUGCAAAGCUAUCUGAUUUUGGAUUAGCAAAAGAUGGUCCAACGGGCGACAAAAGUCAUGUCUCCACAAGGGUGAUGGGAACCUAUGGAUAUGCUGCUCCUGAAUAUCUUGCAACAGGUAAACUUGUUUACGAUCGAGCUCUUAAUUGCUUUUACUCUAGUAACCACGGAGUUCUUUGUUGGUGGUACUAAAGGAGUAAAAGCAAACUAUCACAAUGUUCUUUACUCAAUUUGUGAAGUGCGAGAAGCUGAUGCGAAGCAACUUUUUAGUUCGCCUGUAGGUCACACAUUCAUAAUACUUGUAUCACCGCGUAGAAACAUCCUUGUAAUGAACAUUGAUCAUGGCAAUCAUUAGAGGCAUAUGUUAUAUCACCUAUGGGGCAGUGACUCAGAUUGCACAUCUUUAAAUUAUUUCAUAUAGCAUGAUUCAUUUUCUUGGUUUUUUGGAAUUAGAAAUUUAGUGUCGUUCGGGUUGUUAAUACUGAAGUCAAUUGGGAAGCAAAGUUCUCUAAAUAACUAUAUACUUUGUGGGUAUUAAAUGACUAUUCAUAUGUCGCUGCGGCUUUACAUACAUAAGCUAAGCUAAACAGUUUUAUAUCUGCUUUUUUUUUUUUAAUUAUUUUUUAUGCCAUUCAGUUAUGGGGAUAACUAUGAAGACCAAGUUCUAUCAUUGUAACACUAUUUCUUUCCUUUCAAUUUUGAAUUCUAAAGGCCAUUUGACUACAAAGAGCGACGUGUACAGCUUUGGAGUGGUUCUUGUAGAAAUGUUAUCAGGCCGACGGGCACUGGACAAGAACCGCCCAUCGGGGCAGCACUGUCUGGUGGAGUGGGCGAGGCCGUACCUCACCCACAAGCGGAAGAUCUUCCGCAUACUGGACACGCGGUUAGGGACGCAGUACUCCAUCUCAGGAGCCCAGAAAGCCGCGAGCCUCGCGCUUCAGUGCUUAUCGAUGGAGGCUCGUUACCGACCCACCAUGAACCAGGUUGUCAGCGUGUUGGAACAGCUCCAGGAUUUCAAGGAUGCAUCGACUGGCCCAGUCCCUUCCCCUGCAGCGAAAAAGACGGACCGAAGCCUUGAUAGCAGCUCGCGGAGGUCACGGGGGAGGAGUUUGGAAGAAGCCGCGAGUGUUAAUGGAAAGGUCGCGUAUCCCAGGCCCACGGCAUCUCCUCUUUAUGGUUAAUAAUGAAGUGAAACCGUGGGAAAUGUUGUGAGCUUUUUGAGAAUGCGGGGUUGAGACGAGAAAGAGAUUGAGAUGUCCAUUAGUCUCUGUGGUCAUGUUUGUUGUUGUACAGCCAAUCAUGGUUUUGCUGAUGAUCUUUUUCAUGGUGUAUUUAAAUGGCUUUAUUGUUAUUAUCGUCCAGUUUAAAUGAAUGGUAUUCUUAGAAUAUUUCGGUAGUUUGGUCGAUUAAAUUUUGCUAUUUGACAUCUUAAGAAUGCUGGUGCUUCUUGUCUACUGGGUACCUGGAGAUCAAUCAUCAUAUUUCUACUGCCGCUGUUUUAAUUAAAAGAUUUUGUUGUGUAUUUAGGCAUGAAACCAGCAAGAGAACGACGGUAUUUACAUAAUUAAUAUAAUAGUACUACGGCACAAUGCGAGAGGAGAAAAAGAAAGUUGAAAUUUGUAUUUACACAAUGCUUUCACGAGGACUCUGCAUAGUAGAGAUUAUCACAAUAAAAAAGAAAGUUGCAGAAAAUGUAAGAUAAAAUACACAGAUCGAAGGAAGGCCCAGUUCUGGUUAAUAGACUAAGCCAUGAUUAGCGCAUGUAGGAGUCUGCAAAGGCUACAUAGAUUCUAAAAGAUAUAUUGGAAAACAACAACGAUUUCGCGAACGAUAUACAACCAGAGUGGAAAGAAGGAGAAAAAGCUCAGGCCGCCAUGAGCAGUGAUUUAGUAAUACCGGUUAUCCGAAUUAUAACCUCGCCCACCUGAAUAUUGACCACGGGGCUCGAAACCACGGCCCCUGCCGCCUCGACCAACCUCCGACCGUUGCCCAUAGGACUCAUAAUGACCUGCCGAAGCAUAAUCUCGUUGCAGCUCUGCAUAAGCACUUCCGGCAGCAGCAGCGGCGGCGGCAGUAGCAGCAGCUGAAGAGAAGCCUUGAGCUUCACUGGGCCCUGCACUGUUUUGAUAAUUCUGCAUACUAGCUUGCUGGUACUGCAGAAGCCGAGCCUGAGACUCCUUCCUUAGGAAUUCCUCUCUGCGAGUAGCCUGGCGAGCUCGAAGGGCAAUUAGUUUCUCUUGGUAUUGAGCAUUUAUCUCGCCUAGCCUCUGACAAAGAGGGAGAGCGAGAGCAUAGACACGUAAGUCAUCAAAAACAGGAAAAUUUCUUCAUUGAAAUAAAAGAAAAGGUUAUUUACAAACUUAAUCCUGCAAGUAUGACCUGAGUUUCAACUUCUGCCUCAUUGAGCUUUCAUUGUAACAAUUUACUCUCUGGAGUUUGAUCGGACUUCAAUUUUGUUCUAGAAGCUUCAAGUUUUGAUAACUUCAUCCCCGAAGUUUAAUUCUGAACUUCAAUUUUGCCAUUAGAGUCAAAGCAAAGUUUAAGGGUGGUGCUGAUGUGUCUGCUGCCAGAGACUAAAUUGUUACAUUUAUCUACGGCAAUGAAACUGAAAUCAAGCUCAACCUUCAGGGACUAAACUUGUAAUUUGAAACAAAAAGAAAAAAGAAUAAUCGGUAAGGGCAACUUGCAAAAUGUUAUUCAUGAACAACAACGAACAUAAUACUUGAGCUCUCUUCACAAGUUGCAUACUUUCAGCAUUAUUUUAGCAAAAGAAUCACUUUGAAAAGCGGAUCUGAAAGCAUCUCAUGUGAAUGCCUAGAGAUUACGUUUUAAGCUUCCGGUAGAUGCGGAACCAAAAUUUAGUAAAAUGUUGAGAAACAGGCCUGGCAAUUUUUGGUAUCUUCAGCAUUAUCAAUUUCACAUUAUGAAGAAUAUGCAAUUGAUCUAUAUACCUCCCUGUGUCUAGCAUUUUCUGCAUCCUCUGCAUCAUGAAGUUCCUUGGAAAGCUUUACAACAUCAUUAAGAAAUUUCUGCUCGAGACCUUCAUACGUCUGCGGGAGAAUGUUAUCCUCACGUCCAGCUUCCAUCUCAUUGUGGCGAGCCUGGGCUCUCGGGUCUUUACUGGGCUGCUUUGAAUCCAACCUCUGACUCUCGUAUAAAGAUCUUGCACCAUCAGUCCCUUGACCUAUAUUUGAAUUAAUCCAGCUUUUAGGGACUCAAAAAAUGCUUGGGUUUCAAGCAGUGAGAUUGUUGAACAGUGAAAUAGACAACCUAUGGGCCUGCAUUAACAAAAUGGAUUUCCCUUCCAGAAACAAUUGGAUUAAGAGAGUUUCAGAAAGAAGCAUGGAAUUUGACAUACUUGCACUUCGGAAGAAUCACUUCUACAGCCCAACUACAGGCGCACGACAAAAUGAGCGCAUUUAAACCAAUCAACGAAAAACCAGAGUCAUGAGAUACCAGCAAAACUUGCCUUCGUUAUAUGCGUAGGGCGGCAGCUCACUCGAAUCUUUCGAACCAUCUCGAUGCCAUUGCCACUGUCCCUCCAUCUUUGACAGGUUAUACUGGUGAUCUUCACCGGGCUGCAUAGGGUCCCGCCCCGAAUACUGGCUAUUACCCGACAGUUGCUGUAAUCUCUGCGCUGACAUGUGCUGCUGCAUCUGAGCAGCUACCAUCGGAUUCAUGCCAGGAUCGGCGUACUGCCCCUGUCGCCUCAUUUGUCCUACCUGAAGAACAAAAUAAUCUCUCAGAUGUGCAAAAAUAGAAACCCCAGCAAAAAAAAAAAAAAAACUGAAUUAGAACAGUGAGCUGAGAAUGUAGUUCUAGCCGGGCCUUCUUUUCACCGUAUUAUAUUGUCGCGACUUGCGAAACUUUCAUAGUCAAGCAUUUCCUUAUUUUUUAGCAUGUAUCUUGAGAAAGUGUGAUAAAAAAUAAUGGAUAGCUAUGCCCCUCUUCUAAAACUCAAAGUGAGCAUCGUUUAUCGCGCAAGCAGCAUUUAGCCGCGGCAUCUAUUUUAUGUUAUCAAAUGACCAUUUGUUGUAUAAAUAUCCCUGUGAUAAUAAGCAACACCCAUUACUGGAAAGAUUCGAAAGAUCCCCAAUAGUCAUUUAAAGCAUCACAAAGUUUGAGUUGAGGCUCUCGUGGUCUGGUACUCAUUAUGACUAAUCUCCUGAACGGGGGGGGGCGUAGAUUGGUCGAAUCAUUGAUUCCAGCUACGAGCUUCGUUAAUUAGGAUCACGAAACUGCAUUAUCAGCAACAUAUGAAAAAGACCCAAGACGAAAACAAAGAGGAAGAAGAGGUACACUUACCACCACCACCACCACCACCACCACCACCACCGAAUAAACCCUAAUCGCUCGCUCAAAUUCUCAUUUACACGAACUAUUUCCUUCCAAAGGCGGCUUCGAAGUCGCAAAACGGAGGAUUAAUAUGAAGUUUAAAGCGAGGGAGAACGAAAGAGGAGAGAGAAAAUGGACAGAGAGAGAGAGAGAGCGGAGGGGGAUGAGCGAAGAGGGAGCUUAGGGUUAGGGCGUAGGAACGGGGGAUUCGAUUCGUCCAAUUUCUGUGGGCCCAUUCUAAUUGUAUGGCUCAUAUGGACUCUCCCUUUGGCCCAUUUUCUAGUAUGAAAGGGGGUAUUAUUUAUAUUUGGAAUCUGUUAAGGGAAAAAUUCCAUAAUGCCUCCCAUUU